rnacentral:rRNA from 1 species
UACGUAGGUGGCAAGCGUUGUCCGGAUUUAUUGGGUUUAAAGGGUGCGUAGGCGGCUUAUUAAGUCAGUGGUGAAAUACUCUAGCUCAACUAGAGGGGUGCCAUUGAUACUGAUGAGCUUGAGUACAGAUGAGGUAGGCGGAAUUGACGGUGUAGCGGUGAAAUGCUUAGAUAUCGUCAAGAACACCUAUAGCGAAAGGCAGCUUACUAGGCUGUAACUGACGCUGAGGCACGAAAGUGUGGGGAUCAAACAGG